GCAACGGGGCGGCGCGCGCGUGGCCGUUGCUGUGCUGGCGUCCGGCCAGCGGCGGAGCUGGAGCCGGGCUCCGAGUAGUGCAGAGGUUGUGCACCACCGACUCUUGUCUUUGGCUACACUAAUCCGGGAAGCUCUUCCUCUUCCCGUAAUAACGCUAGUGUUGACUUUCAGGUAGAGGAGGUUGAAUUAAGUGACAGUGUUAUUAACUACCACAGAGCAUGAAUUACAGCUAAAUUACUCCCAGUGCCACUGCUUUUCAUAUGCUAAGACCAA
rnacentral:lncRNA from 1 species